rnacentral:misc_RNA from 1 species
UUAAGUUCAGCGGGUAUUCCUACCUGAUCCGAGGUCAAAUUUUCAGAAGUUUGGGGGGUUUGAACGGCAGGGCACCGCCAGGGCCUUCCAGAACGAAAUAUAAUUACUACGCUCGGGGUCCUGGCGAGCUCGCCACUAGAUUUCAGGGCCCGCCCUUUUACAGGCGGUGCCCCAACACCAAGCAGUGCUUGAGGGUUGAA